rnacentral:rRNA from 1 species
UUCUAUAGGCAUACCUCCACAAAUGCAUUUGAUCUUGUCUGAUCUCAUAAGCUAAGCAGGGUUGGACCUGGUUAGUAGUUGGAUGAGAGACACGAGGCAGCAAGGUCUUGAGCAGAAA